CUACAAUAGAGCUGUUUGUGAAUAGUGUUUUCUGUUGGAGAUGGUAAGUGCCUUUGGGGGGGACUUUGGGCUUUUUCACUUUGUAAAGCUAUAACAUGCACAAAAAAGACAUAUAACACAAUAAAGGAUAGGGAAAAAGCAUAAUUUGAGCACUUUUAUGAAAUAGUUCUCACACCAGUGAAGC